UACGGGAGGCAGCAGUGGGGAAUAUUGGACAAUGGGCGCAAGCCUGAUCCAGCCAUGCCGCGUGUGUGAAGAAGGCCUUAUGGUUGUAAAGCACUUUAAGCGAGGAGGAGGCUACUGAAGUUAAUACCUUCAGAUAGUGGACGUUACUCGCAGAAUAAGCACCGGCUAACUCUGUGCCAGCAGCCGCGGUAAUACAGAGGGUGCAAGCGUUAAUCGGAUUUACUGGGCGUAAAGCGCGCGUAGGCGGCUAAUUAAGUCAAAUGUGAAAUCCCCGAGCUUAACUUGGGAAUUGCAUUCGAUACUGGUUAGCUAGAGUGUGGGAGAGGAUGGUAGAAUUCCAGGUGUAGCGGUGAAAUGCGUAGAGAUCUGGAGGAAUACCGAUGGCGAAGGCAGCCAUCUGGCCUAACACUGACGCUGAGGUGCGAAAGCAUGGGGAGCAAACAGGAUUAGAUACCCUGGUAGUCCAUGCCGUAAACGAUGUCUACUAGCCGUUGGGGCCUUUGAGGCUUUAGUGGCGCAGCUAACGCGAUAAGUAGACCGCCUGGGGAGUACGGUCGCAAGACUAAAACUCAAAUGAAUUGACGGGGGCCCGCACAAGCGGUGGAGCAUGUGGUUUAAUUCGAUGCAACGCGAAGAACCUUACCUGGCCUUGACAUAGUAAGAACUUUCCAGAGAUGGAUUGG
rnacentral:rRNA from 1 species